AAAAUGGGCAAAUUAGUCCCUGUACGUUAGAUCAAAUAGCAAGUUUGUCAUAUUGUUAAUAAUUCUAUUCUUUUUUAUUGUUAAAAACUAGUCCUGUAUGUUAGCAUUAGGUACUUGUGACACACCACGUGUAAUUGUUUGGUUAUUUCAUCAGUCAGGCUGGUUUUUAACAGUUGGAAUGGACAGAAAUUUUAUUAGAAGGGACCAGUUUACUCUUUGAUUUAAUGUAUAGGGACUAAUUUGUCCAUUU
rnacentral:pre_miRNA from 1 species